CUGGUGUACCACACACCAGCUAUAGCUAUAUAGCUAUUGUAGGUACGUGUCAUGCUAAAACGAGCACUGACACUCCUUGAGCUCUGAGUUGUACGAACGGUUCAAAGGAGAUCAAAGUUACGUGGGCUCCACAGUGAUGUAUUUGUUAUAUCUACACCGUUCAUCUAUUUUUAGAUAUUAUUUUAGAGCAUUAACCAAAAAAUGAAUCAUAUCCAAAGAUCUUCUGGACCACACCAAAAAUAGCAGCGGAGAUCAUGAUUUUCACUAUUAAACAAUUCGUAGGUCCACCAUAACGUUUAUUUUCCAUCCAAUCUGUUCAUAAGGUCAAAAAGACCUGAAUGAAGGGGAAUAACAAAUUUCAUAUUGAUCCAAAACUUCUGUGAUACCAAAAUGGGUUUCAAUGGUAGACGUUCAAUCCCCCACUGCUUUUUGCAGUGUGGUCCACUUGAUAAUUAGAUCUGUAUUAUUUUUAGUGUCAAGCCUUAAGACGAGCCCGUCAAAUGAAUGGACGGUUUAGAUAUAAUACAUACGUCAUGAUCAGACCCACAGGACUUAUUGACCGUAAUCCGCUUUCAAAUAAAUGUGCAUGGUAGGCUUUUGUACACGUGUUGCGUGGCCCCACCAUGAUGUAUAUAUUUUAUCCAUGCCGUCCAUCCAUUUUGCCACAUCAUUUUAAGUCAUGAUCCAAAAAAUUAGUAAGAUCCAAAUCUCAGGUGGACCACACCAUAGAAAACAAUGGUUAUAGAAUGCUCACCAUUAAAAAUUUCUUAGGGUCUACUGUGAUGUUUACUUUUCAUCUAACCUGUUAAUGGGGUCACAUUAACGUUGAUGAAGGGAAAACACACUUGUCAGCUGGAUUUAAAACUUUUGUAGCCCCAAUAAAUUUUUAAUGAUGGACGUUUAAUUAUUGUUGUUUCUUAUGAUGCAGUCCACCUGAGCUUUGGAUCUGCCUCAUUUUUGGGCUGAUGCCCUAAAAUUAUUUGGCAAAAUGGAUGGACGAUGUGGAUAUAACACAUUCAUCAAGGGUGGGGCCCAAAAAACUUUGACACUCGUGUGCUACACUUCACAAUUCGGGUCCCGCCUAAUUCGGGCCCUUAAAAAAUUGUACACGAGACAUGUAUUAACUUAAAAUUUACCAAUUAAAUUAUGGACUGUAAUUGGUAAUUCACCAUGCCAAAAUCAAAUUGUUUGAAUAGUUUUAAUUGUUAAUUUGUAGACGCUUAUUUUUUUAAAUAGGGACUUUUGAUUUUUUUCAUGAUUCACUAUCCAAUAAAUGUCCACCAAUUCAUAAGUAGGAUAAUGC